rnacentral:rRNA from 1 species
GCUCAGAACUUAAAGGAAUUGACGGGGCCGCACAAGCGGAGGAGCAUGUGGUUAAUUCGAUGAUACGCGAGGAACCUUACCUGGGCUCGAACGUAAGAUGACUGUAGGUGAAAGCUUACAUCUCUUCGGAGCAUUUUACGAGGUGCUGCAUGGUUGUCGUCAGCUCGUGCCGUGAGGUGUCGGGUUAAGUCCCAUAACGAGCGCAACCCCUACCUUUAGUUGCCAUCAGGUUAAGCUGGGGACUCUAAAGGAACUGCCUACGCAAGUAGUGAGGAAGGCGGGGAUGACGUCAAAUCAGCACGGCCCUUACGUCCAGGGCUACACACGUGCUACAAUGGCCGAUACAGAGGGCAGCUACCUGGUGACAGGAUGCAAAUCUCCAAAGUCGGUCUCAGUUCGGAUCGGAGUCUGCAACCCGACUCCGUGAAGUUGGAUUCGCUAGUAAUCGCGCAUCAGCCAUGGCGCGGUGAAUACGUUCCCGGGCCUU